rnacentral:tRNA from 1 species
GUGUUCCUAUGGCUCAGUUGGUAGAGGAUGGCACUAGUGAUGCUAAGGUUGUGGGUUCAAUUACCAGGGAACACA